UGGCUCAUAUUUGCUAAUUUC
rnacentral:piRNA from 1 species